UCAAUGUCUCACUAGGAGAUUGUCAUAUAGCUGCAUUUUUUACUUUAAGCAGCAACUGAUGGAAACACUUGUGAGCCAACAAACUUAGAUGCAGAAACAGCAGAAUGAAAUGCAGAGCCUGCUUAAAUCUCUAAACACAACUGGAAGCUAGGCAGCAAGACAAAUGCUACUAUGUCAGAUUUUGUGCAAAAUUCAUAGCUACUAAGUGGACUCAAGAAGGAUGAAGAUAAAGCUGCUUUUUUGGCUCGUGAAGUGUUUUGGAAGUUUUUAUGACUUUUCAGGCUCGGAUGCUUUUUGUAAACUUGAUUGACUUUGCAUGAACAAUUUGGGUUACACAGUACCACUUCUAUUGUAGUAUUUGUAGGAUGACAUUGAACUUAAACAUUAUAUUUUGGUCCUUUGUAGCAUAAUGGAUGCUUUUAGCUAUUAAUUAGCAGGCCUUUUAUGGUUCUUUUGAUU